rnacentral:rRNA from 1 species
CCUACGGGGGGCAGCAGUGGGGAAUAUUGGACAAUGGGCGAAAGCCUGAUCCAGCCAUGCCGCGUGUGUGAAGAAGGCCUUCGGGUUGUAAAGCACUUUCAGUGGGGAAGAAAGCCUUGGGGCUAAUACCCUCGAGGAAGGACAUCACCCACAGAAGAAGCACCGGCUAACUCCGUGCCAGCAGCCGCGGUAAUACGGAGGGUGCGAGCGUUAAUCGGAAUUACUGGGCGUAAAGCGCGCGUAGGCGGUCUGAUAAGCCGGUUGUGAAAACCCCGGGCUCAACCUGGGAACGGCAUCCGGAACUGUCAGGCUAGAGUGCAGGAGAGGAAGGUAGAAUUCCCGGUGUAGCGGUGAAAUGCGUAGAGAUCGGGAGGAAUACCAGUGGCGAAGGCGGCCUUCUGGACUGACACUGACGCUGAGGUGCGAAAGCGUGGGUAGCAAACAGGAUUAGAUACCCUUGUAGUC